GAUGAGCAUGCGUCCCAUUAGCUAGUUGGUAAGGUAACGGCUUACCAAGGCUACGAUGGGUAGGGGUCCUGAGAGGGAGAUCCCCCACACUGGUACUGAGACACGGACCAGACUCCUACGGGAGGCAGCAGUGAGGAAUAUUGGACAAUGGGCGCAAGCCUGAUCCAGCCAUGCCGCGUGCAGGAUGACGGUCCUAUGGAUUGUAAACUGCUUUUAUACGAGAAGAAACACUCCUUCGUGAAGGAGCUUGACGGUAUCGUAAGAAUAAGGAUCGGCUAACUCCGUGCCAGCAGCCGCGGUAAUACGGAGGAUCCAAGCGUUAUCCGGAAUCAUUGGGUUUAAAGGGUCCGUAGGCGGUUUAAUAAGUCAGUGGUGAAAGCCCAUCGCUCAACGGUGGAACGGCCAUUGAUACUGUUAGACUUGAAUUAUUAGGAAGUAACUAGAAUAUGUAGUGUAGCGGUGAAAUGCUUAGAGAUUACAUGGAAUACCAAUUGCGAAGGCAGGUUACUACUAAUUGAUUGACG
rnacentral:rRNA from 1 species